GACGAACGCUGGCGGCGUGCCUAAUACAUGCAAGUCGAGCGGAUGACGGAGGAGCUUGCUCCUCCUGAUUCAGCGGCGGACGGGUGAGUAACACGUGGGCAACCUGCCCUGUAGAUUGGGAUAACUCCGGGAAACCGGGGCUAAUACCGAAUAAUCCUUCGGACCUCAUGGUCCGAUGUUGAAAGACGGCAUCUCGCUGUCACUACAGGAUGGGCCCGCGGCGCAGUAGCUAGUUGGUGAGGUAACGGCUCACCAAGGCCACGAUGCGUAGCCGAACUGAGAGGGUGAUCGGCCACACUGGGACUGAGACACGGACCAGACUCCUACGGGAGGCAGCAGUAGGGAAUCUUCCACAAUGGACGAAAGUCUGAUGGAGCAACGCCGCGUGAGUGAAGAAGGUUCUCGGAUCGUAAAACUCUGUUGUGAGGGAAGAACAAGUACCGGAGUAACUGCCGGUGCCUUGACGGUACCUCAUUAGAAAGCCACGGCUAACUACGUGCCAGCAGCCGCAGUAACAC
rnacentral:rRNA from 1 species